UCCCGGUUGGCCCGGGCAGUCUUGCAUGAAAAAUACAACAUACAAUAAGGGUUGCGCUCGUUGCGGGACUUAACCCAACAUCUCACGACACGAGCUGACGACGGCCAUGCAGCACCUGUCACUGAGCUCCCGAAGGCACUCCACCGUUUCCGGCGGAUUCUCAGGAUGUCAAGCCUCGGUAAGGUUCUACGCGUAGCGUCAUAUUAAACCACAUGAUCCUCUGCUUGUGCGGGUCCCCGUCAAUUCCUUUGAGUUUUAGCCUUGCGGCCGUACUUCCCAGGCGGCAUACUUAUCGCGUUAGCUUCGUCUCACAGGGGGUCGAUACCCCAUAAGACUAGUAUGCAUCGUUUACGGCGUGGACUAC
rnacentral:misc_RNA from 1 species